ensembl:lncRNA
CUGGAUCACAUCAUUCCUCCCUUCCAGAUAUUCAAUACCAUUCUUCUCAUGCUGAAUCCUGUCAUCCUCACCAUCAUUCAAACAAUAAAGAUUCUCACCAGUGCCACACUUCUCCCCUUAAUUCCUAUUAUUAUGAUAACUCACACCACUCUUCUUCUGAACUUGAUCAUCAUUUGCAUCAUGAUUCCGCCCCUAAGCAAUUUCAUGACCAGCAUCACUCCUCUUAUCCUGAUGUUCACCAUCAACAUUCCCAUUGCCCUGCUGAUGACCAUCAACAUCACUCUUAUCCGGAUGUUCACAAACAUACUGAGGGUGGUCUAAUGAGUUCCACUAAUCAUGAAUCUAACAGUCCUUACACAGACAGACAUCGCCAACACUCUUCUUAUUUAGACCAUCAUCUUCACCAUCACCAUCAUUCUGGGGAUCCAAAAACUCCAACAUUCAACAGACAUCACCAUAAUCCUGAUGGUCAUUAUUCUCAUCACCACCCUCACAACCUACCCCAGUCUGUAGGGCACCAUCAGUAUUCCCAUCCAGAUUCCCACAAUAGUACACACUCUGAAUCUUAUCACCACCAUGAUCAUCUCCAGUCCCCCCAUUAUCAUUCCCGUUCUGAAGCCAAACUUCAACCCCACAAAGAGUCUGACCACCAGCAUCACCAUAAUAGUCCAGAGUCCCACAAAGAUUCACACCAACAUAGUGAACAAAUUCAUCACCGUUCUCACCAAAACCACAAAAACCCAGAAUUUCAUAACCAGUACUAUUUAGAAUCCCCGUACCAUCAUGUCCAUACUGAAUCCCAACAACAUCCUGAACAUUCUGACCAGACACCAGCAACAAACCAGCAUUCCCAUUCUGAAUUUCAGAAGUCUUCCCACCCUGAAUAUCAAAAAAUGCAUUCCCAUAUGGAAUCCCAUCAUCAUUAUCAUCACAACAAACAUUCAGUACCCCAUCACCAUUCCCAUCAUAGUUCUCAUACCGAGAUGCAUCUUCGCUAUGGUACUCCAAAAUCCCACCAUCAUCAUGAGCAUCCAGAAUCCUAUCCCCAUUCCCAUUAUAAAUCUUAUCACCAUUCCCCAGUGGAAAUCCAGCAUCAUUCCGAUGUUAGAUCACAUCACGAUUGUCCGGAAUCUCACCAUCACCAUUUCCACACCAAGGAACAUCACCAUCAUAGUGGUGACCCCAGUCCUCUUCGCCACUCUCCAGUUGGCGAGAAGGCCACUUCUCCUUGUUCAAGCAAGUCAGAUUCUUGCAGAAAUACAGGAAGUCCUAUUAGCCAUGAUGAGCAGUCAAUGACGUACAAGGAAACAGCAAUAAAUGUCAAAGAAAAAGGCUCUGAAUAUGAGAGGAUCAUGAUGCUACAGGAACAGAAUGAAGACCUGCAUAACACUUUGAAGCAAACAGUGGUGCGUAUGGAGUGCUUAGGAGCUGAAUUUAUCACUGAACAUCAUCAACUGGAAUCAGAGCUACAGAGGACUCGUGUGGAACUAAGCAGCAUGAUGGACAAGUUCACAAGACUUCAGGUUAAUUAUUCCUCCAUUCAGCAGACUGAUGAUUUCCCGGAGGAUGAAACACACUGUAUGGAUGAACGUAUGGAUGCCGAGCGUGAGAAACUAAACCAGCGGAUCUCAGAACUGACAAAACAGCUGUCAGCUGCCAAGACAACCAUUCAGAGCCUGGAGACAAUUAAUGUGACGUCAAUGCUCCAGGAAGCCCUUGUAAAGCAUUUUAAAUCAGAUGAUCCCAUCAAGCCAUUCAAGCCAGCAGUUGCACCUCCUCCAUUUCAAUUUAUGGACAGUGAUCAUUAUAACAAAGGUUCAGUAGCUGGAGAUGACCAAUCGUUGGGUCCUGUUCCAGAAGAGGAUGAAUCUGAUUGGUCAGAAAUGGGUGAGGAGGCAAAGCACUAUCCCUUGAGUAGUUUGGAGAGAGGUCAACAUCGUUGUACAGGCUUUUCACCAUGGCAUCAGGAGCAUGGUUGUUGGGUAAAGUCGGAUAAAUACAGAAGAGGAGACGGAGAUACAGAGAGUGAAUCAGGAGGGGAAGAGAUGGCCCACAGCCAGGGCCUACAGAUACCCCACCUUCAGUUCAGUAUAUACCCUGAGACUGUACCAGUACCUGUAACUAGCUUGAAGCAGAAUCUGGAUGGCCCUGUAGGAGAGGAAUACCAUAUUCACACUGGACGCCAGCUAAGCUCUCCUAUUCGCAUCCUGUCUGCUAGCUUGGAGGGCAUCAACUCCACUGACCUCCAGCAACUUGAGCAUCAAAGUCAGUUAAAGUGCAACAAAGGUAAGAUGGACCUCCACCAUUCACAAUGGGGCACUGCUGAAGAUUGGACUGAAGAUGAGCUUACUCAUAACUGGAAGAAGGCAAAAAAGCAAAAGACUGGAGAUGGAGAGAAAGGGUCACGAAGCAGUGACUCGGAGGCUAUGGCUAAUCUGGAGUCAGCGCAGAAGAUGCUCAACCACUUUAUACAGGAGGGAGAGAAUACAAAAAUAUGAAACCUAAACCUAAUGUAUUAGCCUAAUAAUUAAUGUCUUUAAACACUGAGCAAAUGUGAAUUAGAAUAGGAGCGGUCUGUAAGUGAAUAGUACUGUACAAGGUGUUCCAAAAGUCUCCAUAAAUACCACACAGCGCUCGCUGUAAACUACAGUAUGUUUGCCAGCACCACGUCAGGUGUGCCCUCGUCAGUGGAUGUUCGUGGACGUCCACUUCUCGGUCGGUCCGCAACACUUCCAGUCUUUUUGAAUUUGUUAAUAAGUUUGGAAACAGUGUCGUGUGUUUCCUGUUAAAGUCCAUCGCAAACUUGCAACAGCUUCCCAAUCCAGCAAUGAGAAUGAUUCAAUACGUUCUUCUUUUAUCAAAACCAUAACUAAUUAAUUUCCUAGAAUCUCAGUUUGAUCCCCCUGUGUACUGUGGGACUUUGGAGCUCUUAGGGCAGGAGUAUUCUACUAAAAUUGGCAAGUCCAGUUCCAUAAAAUCCCUUGCUGGAUCUGGUCUGAAUCAGCAACUAAUGGUUACUUCUUAACCUUUAUUGAUUUAUUCAUACUAUUAAUAUGACACAACAUGUUUUGACUAGUGCCACCGAGAAAUCUGUUUUGAGUUUGGCGCAAGGAGAAUAAACACAUGCUUCCCUGUCCAAUUGUCUUUAAACCUUUUGGUUUUGUUCUCAAUUAAAAAAAAAAAAAACACAAGCAAUGUCAUCAGUUCAUUAGAACAGAUAGGGUAUCUAAAAUGAACCCUGUAGCUAGUCCAUAGUCUGAUAAGCUGCCUCCAGCUAAAUAAUUUACUCAAAUGCAUGUGAUUGGAUAAGCCACAAGAGACAGAUGUGCUACAGAAUCCAAGCGGGAUUAUGUAUAUAAUAGUGAAGUAUCUGCUCUGAUAUUUUUUCAUGUACUCAGUUUUGUUCCUCUGUUUUACUUUUCUUGGUCGGCAUACCAGGUGAUGACUCCUGCCCUCUUAAAACCAACCCCACCCAUUACGGUUACCUCUAUAAUCUGAUCUAAGCAUACCCUCUAAUGAUCAAACAUUUUAAUAUUCAAGAAUGAUAUAAGUAAUUACUGUGUUUAGGUUAUUGACUAAUUAGGUAGCUGUAAGCACUCUGUCUGCUCCUCAGAACUUGUGCCACACAAGUUUCAGGUUGGACUUCGGAGUCUGGGUUGUGAGUUAGACUUCUCUAUUCACAUUCAAGGAUAUGUCCACGGGUGACUGGUAGCCCUGCUGAAAUAGAUGCUUUGAUAACUUCUCAAGGCAACAUCAGACAGAAGUGUGGCUCUUUGAUUUCACUUGGGUACUAGACAGGGUUGCCCUUAGAAACCCUCUUUACCAGCACAAAUACAUGUAGACUGAGUGGAAAUCCCCCCCCCCAAAAAAAAAAAAUUUUUGCCAUGAAUCUCACACUUUCUUUUUUUUUUUUUUACCCAGAGAGAAGUUUAUCAGACAUCAGAUGCUGAUUUGCAUUCAACAUCUGUUACCACAGCUUAAAGCAGUGGACUUGAGUUACUUAGUAUGAACUGUAAUCCAGUAAUAUAUAAUAUUUGUAGCUCUUGUAGGGUAAUAAUUUGUCAUUCUAGGCUCUUGGCACAAUGAAUGAGAUGUAAUAGGUAAAUAAAUACAUAACAUUUGGUGUUCAGUCAGGUUAUUACUUGAUCUUGUGUAGACAUUACUUGAAAAUAGAUGUGGGUGUCUCUACCCAACUAGUAUUUACUUUUAUGGUGUCCCAUAAAUAAAUAGUAUUUUUAAAAUUCCUUUGUGUAUUAUUAUUCAAACCCAUAUAGCAAAUAAUCAUGUAGCUAGGUUUUGAACAAAAAACAACAAUUAAUGCCUAUUCAUUCACCAGUAUUUUGAUUUCUCUAGCAUAUGUACUGUAUUCUCAAUUGAGUCAUUUCUUUCAAUGUUGAAUUAAGACUGCUUUAUAGAAUUCAAGCGUAUGUUUGUACAUCAAUGUGAUUCCUCAAUCUGUGUAGAUUCACCUUCAAAGUAACUGUAUUAUUAUAUUACUAUUAUAUCUGUAUUAUUACUGUUCAUUAAUGUAUAUAAUGUAUAUACUGAACCUAUGCCCACUGUUGUCUCAGAUUCCUGUUCAUGGCUGUCAGGAAUGGAACUUCUGCUUUUGUAGCUAAUCCACCUCAAAGUUUGAUGUAUUGCACAUUCUGAGAUGCUUGUGGUGGUUAUUUAACUUACUGCAGCUUUCCUGUCCGCUGGAACCACAUUCUCCUUGGACCUUAGCUCCCUAAGUCAUGACCCUAAGUCAUUUCCACCUGCAGAACUGCUGCUCACUGGGAUUCUAUGUAGACUCUAGAGACUUCUGUAUGUGAAAGUCAGUUCCUGAAAUGCCUGCCAGUCUGGCACCAAUAACCAUACAAAGUCAUACAAAGUCACUGAGAUGAUAUUAUUCUCCCAAUAAUUUUUUAAAUGAUGUUUGAUCUGUAUCUGCAUAAUAUUUAAGCAGUGCCAAAAAAAAGGCUUGUACACAAUUCAUGUUGUAUACAGUGUUGUAAAUGCGCUGCUCCAGCUAGUGAAAUGUUCUAUUGCAAACACAUCUAGAGUAGUAAAGAUGAUGAAAUAUGUUAUAUAAGAAAGGAUUUACGUUCGAAGUGAUUAUUUUAUUUAUUUAUUCAAAUUCACACAUUGAUCCAUGUAUUAUACAAUUUAUAGUAGUCUUUUGUGUACAGCUCAAUGCACAAUAUAGUAUGUCAUCUCAAUUAAUUUUCCACUGUUAAAGUCUUGUCUUGUCUUCAAUAAAAGCAGUGAGAUAAAUUUUAGAAGCAAAA